GAGACUUUGAGUGAAUGAUUUCAAAGGUGAAAAAAUGACUGUUGCAGUAUUUCUUCUUUGAGGACUCUGAGGAUAGAUGAUUCCUCCAGGAAUUAUGCAAAAAAAGUUUGAAGAAUUUUAUUGAUUUUUAUAUAAAAAGUUUUCGGUGAACACCUGGAGAAAGAAGGAUGGAAAAACAUAUUUUGAAAGUGAAAUCAGGGGAAAACAAAAAUCUGUCCUGUGUUAGAAAGGUCGCAUCUUCCUGAACAAGCAAGACAAUUUUUAUGUAAAUGGAGUCUGGAAAGUAUGACAAAAUAAACCUAAAAAAAAAUUGGGUGUGACUUUUUCUCAUUUAAACAAGGGCUUUGUAGUUUUGUACAACGAAAUCUACAUGAAACUAACUAUUAAUAAAUGUCCAGGCUGAUUAAAUUGCCUAUGACUUUCAGCUCUGACCAAAUGUUAUUACUGUUCUGUUUAUUCUAAUAAAAAGCAUUUCAAAGAGUGAUUGACAUAAAGAUACUUAGAUCUGAUCCAUUAUAUAACAUUGUAAAAAUUAAUGUAUAUAAUAAUCUUUGCUGUGAG